rnacentral:lncRNA from 1 species
GUGACUGUGGGAAAAAUCGAUCCGGCUGCCCCUUGCUUUUCCGAUAUGUGUGCGUGGUUGUGUGCAUGAAAUUGUGAAGAGUGUUCUUGAGAUGAGAUUGAGAAGUUGAGGAAGGGAGGAAGAGUGUUCUCUGUUUUUUUUCUUUUUUUUUUUCCGUUUUGAUGCGACUGAAGAAUGUUAUUGGCUUGGCUAAAAUGUGAUUUUGUCUUUAGCUAUUAAAGAGUGUUGAGUGUUCUUCACGUGCAUGUGCUCUUUAGUCUUUGGGUUUAGGUUUCCUUUUUUUACCUUUAAUUUCUUUUUUUUUCUUUGGC